GACAGCUUCGCAAUUCUCAUUGUGUCCACACACACACAUAGAUCCGUGUUUCGCUCGAAAGAAAAUCGCGAGGCUCGAUCUUGCCCAUCGUGUGUAGCAUACCCCCGUUAAGUUGAUUCGGUCGCUCUGACAAGGCGUGUCAAUCCAGGGGCUGUCGCACGCCACUUCGGGAGUUUCGGGAUCGCGGGACUUUCGCCAGUACAGCGAGCAGCUGUAUACAGAGAGCUGCCGUUAUUACACGCACAUAGAGGUAGAGCAGUUAAAGCGCAGCUGCAGCCGCGAAAGCAAUAACAUCACUCCGUGGCCCAUCUGUAGUAGUGGUGCGUGUAUAGUGUAAUAGGCCUCUGCGAGAGUGACGCGCCCACAGUGUGAGUUUCGAGUGGCCAGUGAGUGUAGAGCAGCAGCAGCAGCCAUCAGUAUAGUAGCCGCAGCGGUGUAUAACAGUGUUCGGCAGUGUCGAAUUGUCGUUUCUUUUUUUUUUUUUGCUUCCAAUUCCGAUAAGUGGGGUAUGAAAUGAAUCAGUUACCGCCAGGACAAGGACCGGAUCAGGGUGGUGGCAAUCUGGGCGCUGGACGCAGACCCGGCCCGCCUGGAAGCAACAUGGACGUGAAGCAGAGAAAACUCUCCACAUCUGGAGACUCACUGUAUCAAAUCCUAGAAGUAGAAAAAACUGCCACAGCUGAUGAUAUCAAGAGGACGUACAGAAGAUUGGCUCUUAAGUAUCAUCCUGACAAAAACCCCAACAAUCCAGAAGCAGCAGAAAAAUUCAAAGAAAUUAAUAGGGCUAGGAUUAUUUUGACAGACCUAACGAAACGGAACAUAUAUGAUAAUUAUGGUUCGCUUGGAUUGUACAUUGCAGAGCAAUUUGGAGAAGAAAAUGUUAAUGCAUACUUUAUUGUUACUUCCAAAUGGACAAAGAUAUUCUUUGCAUUCUGUGGAGUCAUAACUGGCUGUUAUUGUUGCUGCUGUUGUUUCUGCUGCUGUUGUAACUUCUGUUGUGGCAAGUUCAAACCACCAAAUCCAGAAGAAAGUGGAGCAUACCAUAAUCUACAGCGGGAGAAUGGCCAAAAUCCAGAAGAGGAAGUCAUUACAUCGCAACCAACACAAAGUGUUACAGGAGGACGAGAUCGACGAGAGCGACCUGGACACGGUGACGAAUCAGCCCUCGUCGACGCUGAACUCGACCACGGGCUCGCAGCAGCAGCAGCAGCCCCACCAGCAGGUGUUCGCGAUGCCGCCGCCCCAGGCUAACGAGAGCACGACCCUCACCAGCGGCCAAGAGCAUCCCGUCUACACUCCCGCAGCGCCGACCAAUCCAUUUGUGAAUCCAGAAGUCGCCAGCAGCAUGAAGUGGUAGUCGCAAAAAUGAGGAUCGUCGACGAGCGAUUGUGCGCCGGAGAAAUAUUGAGAAAAAAAAAUCUUAUGAUAUAUCUUAAGGAGCGAAUGCGUCGAAUCGUUGAACGCCAUCGGCCAUUCGUCCAUUCGUUAUUUUCAGCAUAAUUAUAAAUACAUAGAUAUAUUGAAAUGAAAAACUAAUUAAUUAUACAUAAUUAUAUAUAUUUACGCGACCUCCAGUGUGUUAAUCAUCGAUAUAUUAUUAUAUUCCAAUUAUGAUAUUUUACUGCAAAAGAAAAACUCAAGUGCUAAAUGUCACGUAUUGACCAAGAGAUGGGAAAUUGAAAUCUAGCUUAUCAAUAGCAUUCUGCAUAUUACAUAUAAAAACAUAAUAUCAAUUUAAAUGUAUAAAAAAAAAUUUAAUGAAAAAAAUAUCGGAUGUGUGUCGUGAAAAAUUAAUUAUCGAUCGUUGUUUUACAUGUUGAACUAUAUGUUAAUUAUUAACUUGAUUGUUGAUUAAUUUAACGAAUGGGUUCGUUGUUACAAAAACCUUAUGCUAGGAAUUCGUUGAACGAUAAAGAUUUCGACCCGAUAUCGGAGUAAAAACGAGCUGUUCUACAUUUAAGCGACAAUCUUAUCGAGUAAACAAAAAAAAAAAAAAAGAAGAAGAGGGGCGAUAAAUUUCUUACAAUUGCAAUUCGAGAAAUUCGAUUGAAUCGGUGUCUAGGCGCCCCAUUAAAAAAACAGGAUACGGGUAAAAUUCGUCGUCGCUGGUGCCAUUUAUACAAAUAUUAACCAAACACUUUUUUUUUAUCUUUCUCCAUAUAUUUCGUCAGAUAACGAGCGGCUCAUCCUGGAACUUUUGUUAUCGCGUUAGCAGUCUUUUACGUAUUAUAUAUUAUAUAUAUGUGAACACUUUGUGUAUUGAUUGUUGCUGGCAAUGAUGCGAGUUCGAGUGUAUUGCACACACCCACACAUGGAACUUGUAUGUAAUUGAAAAUAAAUUGUACGUGUGCAAAUACGGCGCGUGUUUGCGUUCCGUUCGAUGGUACGCAAGCCUGCUAGAGUAUCGGCGCUCGUAAAUAAGGUAGAUUUCUACCUCUUAUCUUUAUCUAUAGUACAUAUUAUAGUAUGAUAAUAUACGAUAUAUAUUUUUUAAGUAAGCGUAACGAUAUCAUUUGAAAUAUAUUAAAAAAAUAAAAUAAAAUAAAUAACGGCCAGUCGUAGCUUAAUUGUUUGUGUUCUUCGUGAUUAUUGAAUAUCGUUUGAAUAAUACAAAAAAAAAUUGUCAACAAAUCCUUGAAGCAAAAUAUUCAUUUGUAACAGUGAUAUAUAUUGCGAUCAAGUGCUCAAUACAGUGCUGUGGCAUCGAAAAAAAAAAAAAAAGUAAAUAAAACUCGGCGGCGUAUCCUCGAGAGCCGCCAAGUUCGAAAACGAGAAUGAAUCUAAACUAUUAGAGAUUGCGAGAGAUGAUUGAUUAUAAACUAAAAAUAAUUGUAAUCUCGUAUCGAUAGCGACGAAAGCAAAUGAAGUUUUAUAAAUAAAAAAUACUUAAAUAAGUCGGAGUUUAGCUAGAUCGAUAGUUCAUUAGCAACAACAAGAAUUAUUAUAUACUUUUAGCGUAACACAGCGCGAAAUUUUCCAAGCAUUUUAAUUGUCCGCGGCGUUUGUUUUUCAAUGGCAAAUUUGUUCUCACGACCGAAGGCGCGCAAGCACACGGACGGUUCAGACUGCACCAUAUACAAGUAGCUAUUAUUAUACGUAUUAUAUUAUAUAGUAUAUAUUGUAUCAGCAUCGGGGGAAUCGAGCUCUCGAACGCAUUGGGCAUCUCAGCGAGGGGGGCUUGACAAAUUUUUCGAGCGAAAAAUAGAGCGAACGAACGAGCAAAAAUUAUAAGCCACAAUAUAACGAAACAAUAAACAAUAAUUCGAUACGUAACACCAGAAUUUGUAUAAACAUGUACAAUUGAGCUUGAAAACUGUACAUAAUGUAGCUAUUUAUAGAUUUACACUAGCUCAAACAGCAGCAGCGGUACAAUACGAAGUGGCUGGCAUAUAUUAUAUGUAAAUGUUUGCGGGCGCGCUCGUUAUAAAGAGGCCCCGUGCGCGCGUUUGAUUGAGCCCGAUUAAAUCUGAUUUGUCAAGAGUUCGUGAGUGUGCGCGCGCGCUGGGGGACUCACUGUCCAACAAUGGCUGGAAAGCAGCUUUUUAGCGAUGCAUUUCUUUCUCGUUAGCACAAAAAAAGGUCGCAGUAGUAUAUAUGGUACGCCGCUGUGUUUCAUCGGCGAGUAUCGUUUAAUUAUAUAUGAUUCCAGUCGGCUCCGUCGGCUUCUCUAUUGUGCAUCUAUAGACUCGCCGUUGGUGCCUAUAUAUACAAGUAUACUUUUCCACAAAGCAUUAAUUAUAUUCGUCGUACGUUUUUCCCCCCUUUUUCCGUAUAGCUACGAUCCCAGUUCGUUAUAAUCACGUGUGUGUACAAUAUGCAUACUGUUAAAGAGCGAGAGAGAGACAAUUAAGUCGAUGUUGUAAAAGAAAAGUGCACAGCCAGUGAGAGAGAGAUAGGACCGUUGCGCAACGGCGACGCGAAGGAAGAAGCGACUCGUGUGCGAACCUUUGCCUCCGUUCGAGGAUGGCUCAACAACGUAGACAGGCGUAAUUAACCGCUAAUAUAAUGCCACCCGAUAUACAUUUGCCAUAUUUUAUUGAUUCGACGAUUCCUUGAUGUACGAUGCGAAUUUAUUGCAACAAAUAUUAUUCAUCGUAAUAUAAUAUAUAAAAAAAUUUAAGUGCACGAUCGUGUUCCAAAUACGUAUUAUUAAGCUGAUCAUCGUCCCAUAGCUGAAUCUUGUAAUGCUAUAUUAAUUAUUGUAUAUGCAUACGAUAUAUCAUACUUGUAUUAGUCGAAGAAGAAGAGGAAGAAAAUCCCUACCCGUACGACAGAAUGAGAAAAUUGCAUUAUUGAAGUUUUAAAACUUAUAUAGAUUUAAGGGAAAAGUUUUUAGAGUAAGAGAGCACCAGAACAUCACACCACGCUGUGUAUCUAACAAUUCGCGUGAUAAGAAAAAAUGUGUCAUAAUUGAAAAAGAUCGAAGAGAGAAAGGAUGUUGUAUACUGUAAAACGACGAAUGAGCAAAGGUUGUCAAAUAAAACGAAUGCGUAAAUAAUAUAUUAUACGAGCUGAAUGAAAUUGAUUUUUCUCCGUUUUUAAACGAACUCGCUAGCUUACUAACUAAACAUUUUCCUUGUGUCGUCUUUGACUUAUACGAAAACGAUUCCAAAGUGUAAAAUUUAUCGAGUUCCAUUUGAUCAAUAUGGGACUCGUGUCAUCAAAAGAAUAAAACUUGAAAAAAAAUAUAUAUACACAUUAUAUGA